CUUCCGCCUCCCAGGACCCCAGAGGAAAGCGGCCGGGCGGAGACUCGAGUGAGGUCUCAGAACAAAGAUAUUAUACUCUAAUGAGAAGAAUUGAAGAAUGUACUGAUCUUGAGGUUGUUAAAAGUUAGAAAAAAUAGUAUGAUAUUGCCUCAUAACUGGUAAACUAGGGCUCUGAGGAAUGCUUCAGUGUGAUCACUGCAUCUCUAUUGGCACCCCUGCAAUUAUGGUUCAGAAUACAAGGGCUUCCCUGGUGGCGCAGUGGCUAAGAAUCUGCCUGCCAAUGCAGGGGACACAGGUUCGAGCCCUGGUCCAGGAAGAUCCCACAUGCUGCAGAGCAACUAAGCCCGUGCGCCACAACUACUGAGCCUGCACUCUAGAGCCCGCGAGCCACAACUACUGAGCCCACGAGCCACAACUACUGAAACCUGCAUGCCACAACUACUGAAGCCCGGGGGCCUAGAGCCCAUGCUCCACAACAAGAGAAGCCACCGCAAUGAGAAGCCCACGCACCACAACAAAGAGUAGCCCCCGCUCACUGCAACUAGAGAAAGCCUGCGCGCAGCAACGAAGACCCAACGCAGCAAAAAAUAAAUA